GACGAACGCUGGCGGCGUGCCUAAUACAUGCAAGUUGAGCGCUGAAGGUUGGUACUUGUCCCAACUGGAUGAGCAGCGAACGGGUGAGUAACGCGUGGGGAAUCUGCCUUUGAGCGGGGGGCAACAUUUGGAAACGAAUGCUAAUACCGCAUAAAAACUUUAAACACAAGUUUUAAGUUUGAAAGAUGCAAUUGCAUCACUCAAAGAUGAUCCCGCGUUGUAUUAGCUAGUUGGUGAGGUAAAGGCUCACCAAGGCGAUGAUACAUAGCCGACCUGAGAGGGUGAUCGGCCACAUUGGGACUGAGACACGGCCCAAACUCCUACGGGAGGCAGCAGUAGGGAAUCUUCGGCAAUGGACGAAAGUCUGACCGAGCAACGCCGCGUGAGUGAAGAAGGUUUUCGGAUCGUAAAACUCUGUUGGUAGAGAAGAACGCUGGUGAGAGUGGAAAGCUCAUCAAGUGACGGUAACUACCCAGAAAGGGACGGCUAACUACGUG
rnacentral:rRNA from 1 species